UACGUAGGGGGCUAGCGUUGUCCGGAUUUAUUGGGCGUAAAGAGCGUGUAGGCGGCCAGGUAGGUCUGCUGUGAAAACUCGAGGCUUAACCUCGAGCUGUCGGCGGAAACCAUCUGGCUAGAGUCCGGAAGAGGAGAAUGGAAUUCCCGGUGUAGUGGUGAAAUGCGUAGAUAUCGGGAGGAACACCAGUGGCGAAGGCGACUUUCUGGCCUGUUCUUGACGCUGAGGCGCGAAAGCUAGGGGAGCAAACGGG
rnacentral:rRNA from 1 species